rnacentral:tRNA from 2 species
GCGGGCGUAGAGGAGAGGCCGUCCUCGGCUCCCUGUCACGGAGCAAAUCGCCGGUUCGAAUCCGGUCGCCCGCG